CGUUCAUCCAGGAAGGUAGCAUUUCCCAUCGAUGCUGUUCUACGGGUGUUCCUGAGAUAGCAGUAGGAAUGCCAAGCUCACGGCUCUAGGCGUGGGACUCUGCCUCCGGUUCCGUGGGCGAGAAGUCUGAGGCUGCCUGCAUGCCUUUCCCAUGAGAAAAACACCUGCACUGGUGAAGACACCCCCACGUUGAGAGGAGUAGGC